rnacentral:lncRNA from 1 species
CAGAAUUCUACAGAAACAAACAAGACCAGAACUCCAGAAGUAUGUGUGGUAUGUAUUGCACUACCAUGACUAUUUGUACAUAGAUUGUUCAUGUUAGGAAUAAUCAGCUUGUAUUCCAGGGGGCCAAUAAGCCCAUAUAAGUAGAGUACAGGUGGUGGUACAUAUGCACAUAACCCCUUAUACAAUGGGGUAUUUACAAAAGAGGAAACAUAUC